rnacentral:misc_RNA from 1 species
GGAAGUAAAAGUCAUAACAAGGUUUCCGUAGGUGAACCUGCGGAAGGAUCAUUAACGAGUAAAGUCCUUUGGGACUUUCUUAUCCAAAACACCUGUGAAAAUUAAUUUUUUGCUUUGGGAAUUUAAUUAUUCCCAACAAUCAAAACCACUAAGUUGUCUUUUGUCUGAAUGAUUAUUUAAAAAAUCAAAACUUUCAACAACGGAUCUCUUGGUUCUC